UGGGGGAUAUUGCGGCAAUGGGGGCAACCCUGACGCAGCAACGCCGCGUGAAGGAUGAAGGUUUUCGGAUUGUAAACUUCUUUUAUUAAGGACGAAUUUUGACGGUACUUAAUGAAUAAGCUCCGGCUAACUACGUGCCAGCAGCCGCGGUAAUACGUAGGGAGCAAGCGUUGUCCGGAUUUACUGGGUGUAAAGGGUGCGUAGGCGGCUUUGCAAGUCAGAUGUGAAAUCUAUGGGCUCAACCCAUAAACUGCAUUUGAAGCUGUAGAGCUUGAGUGAAGUAGAGGCAGGCGGAAUUCCCCGUGUAGCGGUGAAAUGCGUAGAGAUGGGGAGGAACACCAGUGGCGAAGGCGGCCUGCUGGGCUUUAACUGACGCU
rnacentral:rRNA from 1 species